CACCAUCAUCCCUGGGAUAUCACCACCAUCAUCCCUGGGAUAUCACCACCAUCGUCCCUGGGAUGUCACCACCAUCAUCCCUGGCUGAUGUCACCACCAUCAUCCCUGGGAUGUCACCACCAUCAUCCCUGGGAUGUCACCACCAUCAUCCCUGGGAUAUCACCACCAUCAUCCCUGGCUGAUGUCACCACCAUCAUCCCUGGCUGAUGUCACCACCAUCAUCCCUGGCUUGAUGUCCAACCGCCCCUGAUGCCUCUUUCUCCACACCUCUGAGCUCACAGCCCUGUUACCAUAGUCACACUAGUUCAACUGCCGUUCUUGUUCCAGUCUGUCCCCAUCAAUCUGUCCCCAUUAGGGCAAUCUGUCCCCAUCCAUCUGUCCCCAUGAGGCCAGUCCGUCCCCAUGAGGCCAGUCCGUCCCCAUGAGGCCAGUCCGUCCCCAUGAGGCCAGUCCGUCCCCAUGAGGCCAGUCCGUCCCCAUGAGGCCAAUCUGUCCCCAUCAAUCUGUCCCCAUGAGGCCAGUCCGUCCCCAUGAGGCCAGUCCGUCCCCAUGAGGCCAAUCUGUCCCCAUAAACCCUUACCAUUCCUGACACCAAGGUUUCUAGAUAAACCCUUACCAUUCCUAACACCAAGGUUUCUAGAUAAACCCUUACCAUUCCUGACACCAAGGUUUCUAGAUAAACCCUUACCAUUCCUAACACCAAGGUUUCUAGAUAAACCCUUAUCAUUCCUGACACCAAGGUUUCUAGAUAAACCCUUACCAUUCCUAACACCAAGGUUUCUAGAUAAACCCUUACCAUUCCUGACACCAAGGUUUCUAGAUAAACCCUUACCAUUCCUGACACCAAGGUUUCUAGAUAAACCCUUACCAUUCCUGACACCAAGGUUUCUAGAUAAACCCUUACCAUUCCUGACACCAAGGUUUCUAGAUAAACCCUUACCAUUCCUAACACCAAGGUUUCUAGAUAAACCCUUACCAUUCCUGACACCAAGGUUUCUAGAUAAACCCUUACCAUUCCCAACACCAAGGUUUCUAGAUAAACCCUUACCAUUCCUAACACCAAGGUUUCUAGAUAAACCCUUACCAUUCCUAACACCAAGGUUUCUAGAUAAACCCUUACCAUUCCUGACACCAAGGUUUCUAGAUAAACCCUUACCAUUCCUAACACCAAGGUUUCUAGAUAAACCCUUACCAUUCCUAACACCAAGGUUUCUAGAUAAACCCUUACCAUUCCUAACACCAAGGUUUCUAGAUAAACCCUUACCAUUCCUAACACCAAGGUUUCUAGAUAAACCCUUACCAUUCCUAACACCAAGGUUUCUAGAUAAACCCUUACCAUUCCUGACACCAAGGUUUCUAGAUAAACCCUUACCUCACCCAGAAGGCUGGGAGUAACACUUUCCAUUUCCCUUUUGAUUGUGACAGACUUCCACCCCCACUGUCUUUAACCCCCC